AAAGGCUCCGAUGACUUGUGGUUAGGGGUGAUAGGCCAAUCAAACUGGGAAAUAGCUGGUUCUCCGCGAAAGAUAUUUAGGUAUCGCCUCGCAUGAAUGCUUCGGGGGGUAGAGCACUGGAUGGGCUAGGGGGACUUACCGUCUUACCAAACCCAACCAAACUCCGAAUACCCGAAAGCAAUAUGCGGGAGUCACACGGCGGGUGCUAACGUCCGUCGUGGAGAGGGAAACAACCCGGACCUACAGCUAAGGCCCCUAAUUCGUGGCUAAGUGGGAAAGGAUGUGGAAAUCCCAAAACAACCAGGAGGUUGGCUUAGAAGCAGCCAUCCUUUAAAGAAAGCGUAACAGCUCACUGGUCUAAAUAAGGGUUUCUGCGCCGAAGAUGUAACGGGGCUCAAGCCACGAGCCGAAGCUUAGGGUGUGCGCGCAAGCGUACGCGGUAGCGGAGCGUUCUGUAAGCCUGCGAAGGGCGACUCGUGAGAGCGCCUGGAGGUAUCAGAAGUGCGAAUGCUGGCAUGAGUAACGACAAACACUGUGAAAGACAGUGUCGCCGAAAGUCCAAGGGUUCCUGCGUAAAGUUAAUCUUCGCAGGGUUAGCCGGUCCCUAAGGCGAGGCCGAAAGGCGUAGUCGAUGGGAAUGCAGUGAAUAUUCUGCAGCCAGUGGAUGGUGACGAAUCUCGUAUGUUGUCCGAUCUUAAUGGAUUGAUCGGGCCUCGAAGAGGUUCCAGGAAAUAGCCUCCACAUUAGACCGUACCCGAAACCGACACAGGUGGACUGGUAGAGUAUACCAAGGCGCUUGAGAGAAUGAUGUUGAAGGAACUCGGCAAUUUACCUCCGUAACUUCGGGAUAAGGAGGCCCAUUGCAUGCGCAAGCAUGCCGUGGGGGCACAGACCAGGGGGUGGCAACUGUUUAACAAAAACACAGGGCUCUGCGAAAUCGCAAGAUGACGUAUAGGGUCUGACGCCUGCCCGGUGCCGGAAGGUUAAUUGAAUUCCCCGUGAAGAUGCGGGGUUCCUGCGGUCAGACGGAAAGACCCCGUGCACCUUUACUGUAGCUUUGCGCUGGUAUUCGUGACUGUUUGUGUAGAAUAGGUGGUAGACUUUGAAGCUUCGGCGCCAGCCGAGGUGGAGUCGCAAUGUGAAAUACCACCCUAAUGGUUAUGGAUAUCUAACCGCGUCCCCUUAUCGGGGAUCGGGACAGCGCAUGGUGGGCAGUUUGACUGGGGCGGUCGCCUCCCAAAGAGUAACGGAGGCGUGCGAAGGUAGGCUCAGAACGGUCGGAAAUCGUUCGUCGAGUAUAAUGGCAUAAGCCUGCCUGACUGCGAGACUAACAAGUCGAGCAGAGACGAAAGUCGGUCAUAGUGAUCCGGUGGUCCCGCGUGGAUGGGCCAUCGCUCAACGGAUAAAAGGUACGCCGGGGAUAACAGGCUGAUGACGCCCAAGAGUCCAUAUCGACGGCGUCGUUUGGCACCUCGAUGUCGGCUCAUCACAUCCUGGGGCUGGAGGAGCAGUUGUCGCGCCAGCGGCAGUGCUGCAUAGCUAUGUACGGACGGGAUAACCGCUGAAAGCAUCUAAGCGGGAAACCCACCUCAAAACGAGCAUUCCCUUGAGAACCGUGGAAGACGACCACGUUGAUAGGCCGGGUGUGUAAGUGCGGCAACGCAUGUAGCUUACCGGUACUAAUCGUUCGAUUGGCUUGAUUGCUCUCAUUUU
rnacentral:rRNA from 1 species